GUUAACGUGGCAGAGCCGGGUAACUGCAAAAGCUCUAGAUCUUUUUGCUGGGAGUUCAAUCCCCCCAUAACU
rnacentral:tRNA from 1 species